UUUAAUUUCCUAUAAAUACCUCCCUUAAUCUACUAUUAAUUCUUAGGUCAACUCUCAUCAAUUUCAAUCUCUCGACUAUAAUUUCAAGUGAAACCAAUCUCUCUUUCUCAAUUUUUUAAAUUUUUUUCAAAUAUUUUGUCAAUUAUUAUAUGAUUUCUCAUAAUUCUUUGGCCACUAAAUAUUUUCAAAUUUAGUGGUAGGUUCUAUCUAAUUUUUAUUUUCGACUCCUAUACUUGAGAUUUAUCAGGCUGGUUCUAAUGUUCCUCUGUCAAAGAAGUAUCUAUUAGAGGGGACUGCUGGUACUAAUGCUGAAAGCAUCGGUUCAGAGAAGGAUGCAACUGAUGACUACUACUCAGACUCUGCAGGUAGGGGCUCUAAAUGGGUCAAGGUAAAUGAGAAAAUGAAUCUCUAUGAUGGCCUAAAUGAAGCAAAAUUCACCAUCCCUGGGAUCUUCUUGUUGGAGUCAAAUAUUCUUCUUCAUUAACAAAAAGAUCCUGUAUCUUCAAUAUUCCCUUUGCUCAUGGUUGCUCCAUGCUCCGCGGCAGAUCUUAGUCCUCUACUGGAUGGUGCGGCUAAUGCCACUGCUGCUGCUCAAUACAUCUGCGGCCAAUUUAAUGCCAUUUCAAGCAAGUUUGUUGACACAGUCGACCCCGUUUACAACAUCUACCUUGUCUUCUCUGCCUACCUUGUUUUCGUCAUGCAACAUGGCUUUGCGCAUGGUUGGCCGAGCCAAGAGCACAAUGAACAUCAUGCUCACCAGGUGGCCUUUUUUAAUAUCUCUUUGCUUUGCCUUUGCAUUUGGUAUUCCCUCCAAUGGUUUCAUGGCAAGCAUUUCUUCGGCCUCAACACCUCACCUUCAUUUGACUGUGCUUACUUCCUCUAUCAAUUAGUUGUGUGCAAUAAAUGAGCACGAAUGUCCGGCUGUUCUGACAAACGUGAUUCAUCUUUGUUUCAAUCUCCCACUGAUAGGGAAACAUGUAGCAGUGCCAAACAUUCGUUUAAACCGAGACAGUUAAUAAAUCACACAUAACUUCCAUGGUAGAACGCCAA